rnacentral:rRNA from 1 species
AACGAACGCUGGCGGCAGGCCUAACACAUGCAAGUCGAGCGCCCCGCACGGGGAGCGGCGGACGGGUGAGUAACGCGUGGGAACGUACCCUUUGCUACGGAAUAGCCUCGGGAAACUGGGAGUAAUACCGAAUGUGUCCUUCGGGAGAAAGAUUUAUCGGCAAGGGAUCGGCCCGCGUUGGAUUAGGUAGUGGGUGGGGUGAUGGCCUGCCAAGCCGACGAUCCAUAGCUGGGGUGAGAGGAUGACAAGCCACGCUGGGACUGAGACACGGCCCAGACUGCGACGCGAGGGAGCAGAGGGGAGCCUUAGAGACGGGGCGCAAGCGUGACCUAGCCACGCGGGGGAAGCGAUGAAGGCCGUAGGGUUGUAAAGCUCUCUGAGGGGAGAAGAUAAUGACUGUACCCCCAGAAGAAGCACCGGCUAACUACGUG